CCUUUCCUUGUCAUGGGGGGAGAGCAACUCAAUGAACGACUAGUGAGAGUAGCCCUGCCAGCACCGUAACAACACAUUCGCAUCACCUGGACUUCUGUCCAGAGCAUGGUGCAAUUUUUGGCAAC
ensembl:snRNA